CUCCUCCUUCCGGCUUCCCCCCCCUAGACUGCGCGGCCGCGAAGCCAAACCCUAGCCCCCGUUCCCCUUCCACUCCCCGGCCUGUUCAGCGGGGAAGGAUGAGCAGGCGUUGGAGCAGGACGAUCUAUGUUGGCAACCUCCCCGGCGACAUCCGGGAGAGGGAGGUGGAGGACCUCUUCUACAAGUAUGGCCGUAUUGUUGAUAUUGACUUGAAGGUUCCUCCAAGGCCGCCCGGCUAUGCUUUUGUGGAGUUUGAAGAUCCUCGUGACGCUGAAGAUGCUUGUGCUGGACGGGAUGGCUACAACUUUGAUGGAAACCGUCUAAGAGUGGAGCCUGCUCAUGGCGGAAGAGGUAGUGGCGGCCCCUCUCAUGACCGUCCAAGCUUUGGCGGUGGUGGUGGUUUUGGAGGUGGCGGCGGCGGUGGACGCCGUGGUGUGUCCAGGCACACGGAUUACCGUGUUCUGGUUUCUGGUCUGCCUUCUUCUGCGUCCUGGCAAGAUUUAAAGGAUCAUAUGCGAAGAGCUGGUGAUGUUUGUUUCGCAGAAGUCUAUCGUGAAGGCGGCGGCACAAUAGGGAUUGUUGACUACACAAACUAUGAUGAUAUGAAAUAUGCUAUAAAGAAACUGGAUGACACUGAAUUUAAGAAUGCCUUUUCUAAAGGUUAUAUAAGGGUGAAGGAAUAUGAUGGCAAACAAGCGCGCUCCUACUCGCGCAGCCGAAGCCCAAGUCGCAGCCGCAGCAGGAGUGCAAGCAAAUCUCCCAGGGGCCGCUCAGCAUCUAGGUCCAGAUCAAGGUCUGUUUCUUCCCGUUCUCGGUCGGCAUCUAAAGGACGUUCCCCAUCAAGACUCGAUUAUCUCUUCAUUUUAUCUGGGAUUGUGCGGCGAUCUAGGGAUUGUGCAUUAGGAUAUUGAGGAUGGAAUUUGCUCAAUUUGCUACAGUUGUGUUCGUUGUAUGAGAGCUUGGGCAUAGCGCAUUGUUUGGAAUUCGGGACAUAAGAGCACUAAGGAUGGAUUAUGAUGGUUCAGUGGAUAGGAAUGUGCUUCGAGUCCAAUGCUUGAGGAAUGAGUUUGUUUCCUACCUUGGGCACGCAUAACAUGGUUAACAUGGUUGUGUCUUGCAUGCACUAAUAGCAUUGAACAGCAGAUGUUUGCAUUUCUGCAUGCUUUGAACUUCUGUAACUGAGUGCUUUUGUUUUCCUUGAGCUCCUUCCGCUUUGGACUCAAGCUGAUAAAGGUGCAUUUUGGAUAUUUAAUUCAGCUGUUUGUGGAACUUUUGCAGAUCACCAGCAAGAUCCAAAUCCCCGAUCGCUUCUCCGGCAAAUGGUGCCGUGGCGGCAAGUCCCAAGAAACGCACUCCAAGCAAGAGCCCAUCUCGCUCACGGUCUCCUGAUGUAAAA